UGCCUCAGAUACGGCGAGUGAGCGGCAAGAGCUCAAAUUUGAAAGCUGGCUCCUUCGGGGUCCGCAUUGUAAUUUGCAGAGGAUGCUUCGGGUGCGGCCCCUGUCUAAGUGCCCUGGAACGGGCCGUCAGAGAGGGUGAGAAUCCCGUCUGGGAUGGGGUGUCCGCGCCCGUGUGAAGCUCCUUCGACGAGUCGAGUUGUUUGGGAAUGCAGCUCUAAAUGGGUGGUAAAUUUCAUCUAAAGCUAAAUACUGGCCGGAGACCGAUAGCGCACAAGUAGAGUGAUCGAAAGAUGAAAAGCACUUUGAAAAGAGAGUUAAAAAGCACGUGAAAUUGUUGAAAGGGAAGCGCUUGCGACCAGACUCGCCUCCAGGGUUCAGCCGGCAUUCGUGCCGGUGUACUUCCCUGGGGGCGGGCCAGCGUCGGUUUGGGCGGCCGGUCAAAGGCUCCCGGAAUGUAGUGCCCUCCGGGGCACCUUAUAGCCGGGAGUGCAAUGCGGCCAGCCUGGACCGAGGAACGCGCUUCGGCACGGACGCUGGCAUAAUGGUCGUAAACGACCCGUCUUGAACCACGGACCA
rnacentral:rRNA from 1 species